GGCAGGUAGCUGAAGUGGGAGGAUCACUUGAGCCUGGGAGGUUGAGGCUGCGGUGAGCCAAGAUUGAGCCACUGCACUCCAGCCUGGGUGACAAAGAAAGACCCUGUCGAAGAAGAAGAAGCAGCAGCAGCAGAAAAAGAAGAAGAAGAAGAAGCAGAAGAAGCAGAAGAAGAAGCAGAAGAAGAAGAAGCAGAAGAAGAAGAAGAAGAAACAAAGGGGAGGAUGCAACUUGGAGAGGUGAGAGUCCAGUUCAUUGAGUCAACAAUUAUUUUAUAAGUGCCUCCUGCAGGACUGGCACUGCUGGGCACUCAAGGGACCAAGAUUAGUCAGAUCAAGAUAGUUCCCUUUAGCAGCUCCCAGACUAUAAGAGAGAAAAGACCUAUACAAUCAUGGGAAUAUGAAAGACAAGGUAUUCAGUGCUCCAUGAGGCACAAGAAAGCUCUAUAGGACUUGGGAGAGGAGUAGCUGGCUGGAGGAAUCACAGAAGGCUUCCUGGAGGAAGUGGCUUUGAGCUUCUGCCAUCUCCAUGCAGCUACUCCAAGCUCCAGAGCCAGCCACGGAGCACUCCUGGAACUCUUUGCAGGAUCCAUCUCGAAGUUCUGACUCCCAGCAGAGAAACAACACUGGCCCAGCCCCUAGGAGAAAGCCUAACUGCAGUAAAGGAGUCCUGGAGACAGGACAAGAAUGAAGUCAAUGAAGCAUAGCAGGAGUGGAGAUAAAGACGCGCAUGAAAUUUGGUGCUGUGACUCGGAUUGGGGGACCUCCCUUGGGAGAUCAAUCCCCUGUACUCCUGUUCUUUGCUCCGUGAGAAAGAUCCACCUAUGAUCUCAGGUCCUCAGACCGACCAGCCCAAGGAACAUCUCACCAAUUUUAAAUCAGGUAAGCGGCCUCUUCUUACUCUCUUCUCCAACCUCUCUCACUGUCCCUCAACCACUUUCUCCUUUCCACUCUUCAAUCUCUCCCUUCUCUUAAUUUCAAUUCCUUUCAUUUUCUGGUAGAGACAAAGGAGACACGUUUUAUCCGUGGACCCAAAACUCCGGCGCCAGUCACGGACUGGGAAGGCAGCCUUCCCUUGGUGUUUAAUCAGUGCAGGGACGCCUCUCUGAUUAUACACCCACGUUUCAAGGGUGUCAGACCACGCAGGGACGCCUGCCUUGGUCCUUCAACCUCAGCGGCAAGUCCCGCUUUUCUGGGGUAGGGGCAAGUAGCUCAACCCCUUCUCUCCUUGUCUCUACCCCUUCUCUGCUUUUCUGGGAGAGGGGCAAGUACCCCUCAACCCCUUCUCCUUCACCCUUAGCGGCAAGUCCCGCUUUCCUAGGGGGCAAGAAGCCCCCAAUAGCUUAUUUCCGCACCCCAACCUCUUAUCUCUGUGCCCCAAUCCCUUAUUUCCGCACCCUGACCUCUUAUCUCUGUGCCCCAAUCCCUUAUUUCCGUGCCCCAACUCCUUCUCUGCUUUUCUGGAGGGCAAGAACCCCCCACCCCUUCUCCGUGUCUCUACUCUUCUCUGGGCUUGCCUCCUUCACUAUGGGUAAGCUUCCACCUUCCAUUCCUCCUUCUUCUCCCUUAGCCUGUGUUCUCAAAAACUUAAAACCUCUUCAACUCACACCUGACCUAAAACCUAAAUGCCUUAUUUUCUUCUGCAAUGCCGCUUGACCCCAAUACAAACUCGACAGUAGUUCCAAAUAGCCAGAAAAUGGCACUUUGAAUUUUUCCAUCCUGCAAAAUCUAAAUAAUUCUUGUCAUAAAAUAGGCAAACGAUCUGAGGUGCCUGACGUCCAGGCAUUCUUUUACACAUCAGUCCCGUCCUAGUCUCUGUGCCCAGUGCAACUCGUCCCAAAUCUUCCUUCUUUCCCUCCCGCCUGUCCCCUCAGUACCAACCCCAAGCGUCGCUGAAUCUUUCUAAUCUUCCUUUUCUACAGACCCACCUGACCUCUCCCUUCCUCCCAGGCUGCUCCUCGCCAGGCCGAGCUAGGUCCCAAUUCUUCCUCAGCCUCUGCUCCUCCACCCUAUAAUCCUUUUAUCACCUCCCCUCCUCACACCUGGUCCGGCUUACAGUUUCGUUCCGUGACUAGCCCUCCCCCACCUGCCCAGCAAUUUACUCUUAAAAAGGUGGCUGGAGCUAAAGGCAUAGUCAAGGUUAAUGCUCCUUUCUCUUUAUCCCAAAUCAGAAGCGUUUAGGCUCUUUUUCAUCAAAUAUAAAAAUCCAGCCCAGUUCAUGGCUCGUUCGGCAGCAACCCUGAGACACUUUACAGCCCUAGACCCUAAAAGGUCAAAAGGCCGUCUUAUUCUCAAAAUACAUUUUAUUACCCAAUCUGCUCCCAACAUUAAAUAAAACUCCAAAAAUUAAAUUCCGGCCCUCAAACCCCACAACAGGAUUUAAUUAACCUCGCCUUCAAGGUGUACCAUAAUAGAAAAAAGUUGCAAUUCCUUGCCUCCACUGUGAGACAAACCCCAGCCACAUCUCCAGCACACAAGAACUUCCAAACGCCUGAACCGCAGCGGCCAGGUGUUCCCCCAGAACCUCCUCCCCCAGGAGCUUGCUACACGUGCCGGAAAUCUGGCCACUGGGCCAAGGAAUGCCCGCAGCCCGGGAUUCCUCCUAAGCCGCGUCCCAUCUGUGCGGGACCCCACUGGAAAUCGGACUGUUCGACUCACCUGGCAGCCACUCCCAGAGCCCCUGGAACUCUGGCCCAAGGCUCUCUGACUGACUCCUUCCCAGAUCUUCUCGGCUUAGCGGCUGAAGACUGACGCUGCCCGAUCGCCUCAGAAGCCCCCUAGACCAUCACCGACGCUGAGCUUCGGGUAACUCUCACAGUGGAAGAUGAAGAAACUGGGGCUCUGAAUGGCAUAUUAACGCGUGCAGCUCCAGACAGCGAGGAAGUGAUGGCAACUCUAUCCGAACUCAAAUCUGCCAGACCUAUACCAGUAGGUGCCUGUGUGCAGUUGGGGACUCACCUCUGCCAGUGCUGGCAUGAGCUAGCUGUCUUGAACUGAAAACAGACACUCAAAGAUGGGCUGUGGGAUCCCAGAGAGGUGGCAGAAUGGUCAAAGCUAUGAAGCCAACAGCUGCUGCCAACAAGAAAGUCCUGAGCCCUGAGUGAUUGUAAUUUAAACUUAAUGCUGGGAGUGGGUGUUUAUUUUGGAGGAGUGGGCUGCUUAUUUUUGGUUUGGGGACUUGUUCAUUCAUCUUUUCUCAGCGGCGCCUACUGCUGCCCUGGCCCGAAGUUAAAGCUCAAUAAAUCACUGUUGCACAACUGAGUGCCCACGCCUAGAUUGUAAGUUCCUGGAAGGCAAGGAUUUGUGUCCCACACUUGUUUUGUACCCUCCAGGAUCUUGCACAGCACUUGGCGAAUGGGUAUUGAAUGAAUUCAUUCACUGAAGCGUCUCUCUGGUGCCAGGCCCAGUGCUAAGUGAUGGGAAUACACAGAUGAAUACGAUAUGGUCCCUGCUCUUGGGUAACUCAUUAUUCUGGUAAAUGAAUAAAGGAAA
rnacentral:lncRNA from 1 species